rnacentral:rRNA from 1 species
AAUCAACGCUGGCGGCGCGCUUAACACAUGCAAGUCGAACGAGAAAGGGGAGCAAUCCCUGAGUAAAGUGGCGUACGGGUGAGUAACACGUGGAUGAUCUACCUCUUGAUGGGGGAUACCUCUGGGAAACCGGAGACAAUACCGCAUAAGCUCGGGAGAGGAAAGCCGAAAGGCGUCGAGAGAGGAGUCCGCGGCCGAUUAGCUAGUUGGUAGGGUAAAAGCCUACCAAGGCAAAGANCGGUAGCCGGCCUGAGAGGGCACACGGCCACACUGGCACUGAGACACGGCCCAGACUCCUACGGGAGGCAGCAGUGGGGAAGUAUUGCACAAUGGGCGGAAGCCUGAUGCAGCGACGCCGCGUGAGGGAUGAC